rnacentral:rRNA from 1 species
UACGAAGGGGCUAGCGUUGCUCGGAAUCACUGGGCGUAAAGGGCGCGUAGGCGGCGUUUUAAGUCGGGGGUGAAAGCCUGUGGCUCAACCACAGAAUGGCCUUCGAUACUGGGACGCUUGAGUAUGGUAGAGGUUGGUGGAACUGGCGAGUGUAGAGGUGAAAUUCGUAGAUAUUCGCAAGAACACCGGUGGCGAAGGCGGCCAACUGGACCAUUACUGACGCUGAGGCGCGAAAGCGUGGGGAGC